UACGUAGGGUGCGAGCGUUGUCCGGAAUUACUGGGCGUAAAGAGCUCGUAGGUGGUUUGUCGCGUUGUUCGUGAAAACCCAGGGCUUAACCCUGGGCUGGCUUCCGAUACGGGCAGACUAGAGGUAUGCAGGGGAGAACGGAAUUCCUGGUGUAGCGGUGAAAUGCGCAGAUAUCAGGAGGAACACCGGUGGCGAAGGCGGUUCUCUGGGCAUUACCUGACGCUGAGGAGCGAAAGUGUGGGGAGCGAACAGG
rnacentral:rRNA from 1 species